AAUCAGAAUUUGAUUGACUCCAUGUUGCCAUGAAGAAACAAGUCUCCUGAAAUAUGUUUAUGUGGUUCUCAGAAGCUUCGUUCAAGAAAAACAGUCCAAGUCAGAAGGUUUCUUCUAGUGAAGAAGCUGGGAAGCCAGGCCAGACACAUUAAGAUUCAAGAAGUCUUAUGUCUUUGCUCAUCUGUGAACUGACCAAUGGAAUGCCUUUGGUAGCCAUUAGAGCCAAAGAGCUAUGUGAGAGUUCACUGAGAAUACAUCAAGAAUUUUGUUUUUAUCUCCUUUGGGAUUCUCUUCCAGCUGGCCCUGGGGAGAACUAGUGAUAAACUAGAAAUUUCUUGGACAUGGUUGUUGGAACUACACAUCUCCGUCCUCAAUAAG
rnacentral:lncRNA from 1 species